CUUGAUGAUGUAACCAAUAAAUUUUGACUUCUACCUCCGUAUUGCAAGAAGACAAAUACUUCUUCUUAGCCGAGUGAGAAAAAUGACAAAAAGUGUACAUGGUUGGAGUUGAUACACGCCUUGCAGUCAAAGAACAGCCUUUAAAAAGAAGGCAAGAGAGGAAACAAGGCGGAAUUUAAUCCUGCAAUCUUAUUCGUUAAUCUCUGAAGCUUACACUUUUUGGUGAACAAACUAAUGAAAUUAUAGAUGACAAAAGUGAAGAUUAUAUACCAAUGUAUAUUCCAAAAGAUAGCAGAAAAAAAAAUUACUUCUGAUAUUCACCUGCCCUUGAUCGAAUCGCCUAAAAAUCAGUUUUCAUAUUAUUAGAAGCAGCUAAAAAUCUGGGUCAUAAUAUGAAAGAACUUUCAUUAGAAGAUGGAAAAAAAAAAAAAACAAUUCAAAACAGGAAGUUCCUCUUGUCACACACUGGGACGGAAAAAGAUUCCUAAUCUUAAUACAACCGAAAGAAACUUUCUACAUUAUUAUCGAUGGACAAACUUUCCUCUGGACAGGAGAAGAACAAGCCGCCAAUGAUGUAUUCAAGGUAAUUAAAGAAUGGGAUAUUGGACACAAAAUCAAAGCAAUAUGUUUUGACACUACAAGUUUAAAUAUCGGUAAGAAUAAUGGAAAUUGCAGUAUAUUUGAAAAAUUACUUGGCAAAAAACUUGUACAAUUUUCUUGUAGACUCCAUAUAAUGCAAUUAUUCAUUGGCAUUAUUUUCCAUGAGUGUAUGGGUGCCAAAUCGUCACCAAAUUUUCUUUUUUUUAAAAAGAUUCAAUGAAAAUUGGUCAUCAAUCAACAAAACUAACUUUAAAACUGGAAUUGCAGAUGAAAAGGUGGCCAGUCUUUGGUAAGACAUACGGGAUUGUACUUUUGAAUUUGCAAAAUACCAUUUACUUUUCCAAAAACAAACCAAUUUUAUUGUCACCCUAAUAUUGAGGACUUUUAAGACUAGACAAGUUGAGAUCCGUUUUAUAUGUUAUUUAAGAGCUUUUAUGAAAUACAUAGUAAUUCUA
rnacentral:lncRNA from 1 species